AGGAUGAUCAGCCACACUGGAACUGAAACACGGUCCAGACACCUACGGGUGGCAGCAGUUUCGAAUCAUUCACAAUGGGCGAAAGCCUGAUGGUGCGACGCCGCGUGGGGGAUGAAGGUCUUCGGAUUGUAAACCCCUGUCACCGGGGAAGAAACGCUUCAAUUUAACAGAUUGAAGCCUGACUUAACCCGGAGAGGAAGCAGUGGCUAACUCUGUGCCAGCAGCCGCGGUAAUACAGAGACUGCAAGCGUUAUUCGGAUUCACUGGGCGUAAAGGGUGCGCAGGCGGCUGGGUGUGUCAGAUGUGAAAUCCCGAGGCUCAACCUCGGAACUGCGUCUGAAACUACUCGGCUAGAGUAUUGGAGAGGGUAACGGAAUUCACGGUGUAGCAGUGAAAUGCGUAGAUAUCGUGAGGAACACCAGAGGCGAAGGCGGUUACCUGGACAAUUACUGACGCUCAGGCACGAAAGCGUGGGGAGCAAAAGGGAUUAGAUACCCCUGUAGUCCACGCCCUAAACGGUGCACACUAGGUCUUGGCGGAUUCGACCCCACCAGGGCCCAAGCUAACGCGUUAAGUGUGCCGCCUGAGGACUACGGUCGCAAGACUAAAACUCAAAGGAAUUGACGGGGGCCCGCACAAGCGGUGGAGCAUGUGGCUUAAUUCGAUACGACGCGAAGAACCUUACCAGGCCUUGACAUGCACUAGACUGGCGUUGAAAGACGCCUUUCCUUCGGGACUAGUGCACAGGUGCUGCAUGGCUGUCGUCAGCUCGUGUCGUGAGACGUUGCGUUAAGUCGCGCAACGAGCGCAACCCCUGUCCUUAGUUGCCAUCAGGUAAAGCUGGGCACUCUAGGGAGACAAACCCUCUCUGAGGGUGGGAAGGUGGGGAUGACGUCAAGUCAGGAUGGCCCUUACGGCCUGGGCUGCACACGUGCUACAAUGCCCGGUACAGGGGGACGCAAGACCGCGAGGUGGAGCAAAUCCUCAAAACCGGGCCCAGUUCAGAUUGCAGUCUGCAACUCGACUGCAUGAAGCCGGAAUCGCUAGUAAUGGCGUAUCAGCUACGACGCCGUGAAUACGUUCCCGGGCCUUGUACACACCGCCCGUCACGUCAUGAAAGCCGGUUUCGCCCGAAGUGCGUUUGCCAACCAGCAAUGGAGGCGGCGCCCUAAGGUGAGACUGGUGACUGGGACGAAGUCGGAACAAGGUA
rnacentral:rRNA from 1 species